GGACUGAUUGCUUCUAACUGCUGCUACUGGCCAUCAGGACUUGCUGAGAUACCUGUGUUCUGCAAGGGACAAUUAGUCUGCAGCAACAACAGUAGAGUGGUGAGCACAGUAAGGGUCACCAAAUGGCAUCCCAAUCCAGAGAGAUGUACCUCUGCUGAGAGCUUAUCAGGGCCCUGCUCUUCCUGGGACAGAUUGGCACAAGGACAUCUUGGAAGAAUAAACUUUGCAGCAUCAAAAUUCUGGAACUGGCAUAGGUGAAGCUUGGUAGUAUUCCUCCUGUGCGCACCGGAGUAUCAGGAGGCGAAGAGUGUUUCUGGCACUUUGGUAGCUGGGCAUGCCUUUAAGGAAAGUGCUAUGAUCAACACUGAUGCCAACACUUAACCCCAUGCUGACGCUGACAGCACCCAACUGAAGUUGCAAGAUACACAGCGGAAGACACAGAAUAAAAGCACAAAAUGGUAAUGAAAACC